UGGUAAAGGAAAGUUGUCUUUUCUAGUGGCUGAAUUUAAUUAUCUAUAAUCUAUACAAACUUGCCACCUUAUUACUAUCCUAUUAGGGAUCAAUUCAUUAUUCUCAUUUUUAACUACAACCAUACCUCCCUUCUUGGGAACUACUUGAACAGGCCUAGCCUACGAACUAUUAGAGAUAUGAUAGAUAAUACCUGCAUCAAGUAACUUUACCACUUCUUUUUUCACUACCUUUUACAUGGCUGGAUUCAAAAGCUUUUGUGGUUGAAUAGUCGGCUUGAAAUAAUUCUCCAUGUAAAUCUUGUGUAUGCAGACGGUUGGGCUUAU
rnacentral:lncRNA from 1 species